UUAACUGAAAUGUUUACAUUUUAGAGCGGUUAGUGGCGGACUGGUGAGUAACACGUAAGCAACCUGCCUAUUAGAGGGGAAUAACAAUGAGAAAUCAUUGCUAAUACCGCAUAAACCAUAGUUAUUGCAUGAUAGCAAUGGGAAAGAAGCAAUUCGCUAAUAGAUGGGCUUGCGUCUGAUUAGAUAGUUGGUGGGGUAAAGGCCUACCAAGUCGACGAUCAGUAGCCGGACUGAGAGGUUGAACGGCCACAUUGGGACUGAGAUACGGCCCAGACUCCUACGGGAGGCAGCAGUCGGGAAUAUUGCGCAAUGGAGGAAACUCUGACGCAGUGACGCCGCGUAUAGGAAGAAGGUUUUCGGAUUGUAAACUAUUGUCAUUAGGGAAGAAAAAAGACAGUACCUAAAGAGGAAGCUCCGGCUAACUACGUGCCAGCAGCCGCGGUAAUACGUAGGGAGCAAGCGUUAUCCGGAAUUAUUGGGUGUAAAGGGUGCGUAGACGGGAAAAUAAGUUAGUUGUGAAAUCCCUCGGCUCAACUGAGGAACUGCAACUAAAACUGUAAUUCUUGAGUGCAGGAGAGGAAAGUGGAAUUCCUAGUGUAGCGGUGAAAUGCGUAGAUAUUAGGAGGAACACCAGUGGCGAAGGCGACUUUCUGGACUGUAACUGACGUUGAGGCACGAAAGUGUGGGGAGCAAACA
rnacentral:rRNA from 1 species